rnacentral:lncRNA from 1 species
GUGCCUACAGCAUCUAGCACUUCUCAUCUUUACGCGAGAAGCAGUGUGUACCAGCGACGAGCUUGUAUUUGCAACAUCUUGUACUCUCGAUGGUCUUUUGAGGGUCUAAUUAAUUAUCCCUCCAGAGAUUCCCCCUCUGCUUCUUAAAUGACUCAGACUUUGUAGGGGUCUUGUAAGUUAUCCCCGUCUUAGAGUCGUCG